GAUGAACGCUGGCGGCGUGCCUAAUACAUGCAAGUCGAGCGAACGGACGAGAAGCUUGCUUCUCUGAUGUUAGCGGCGGACGGGUGAGUAACACGUGGAUAACCUACCUAUAAGACUGGGAUAACUUCGGGAAACCGGAGCUAAUACCGGAUAAUAUUUUGAACCGCAUCGUUCAAAAGUGAAAGACGGUCUUGCUGUCACUUAUAGAUGGAUCCGCGCUGCAUUAGCUAGUUGGUAAGGUAACGGCUUACCAAGGCAACGAUGCAUAGCCGACCUGAGAGGAUGAUCGGCCACACUGGAACUGAGACACGGUCCAGACUCCUACGGGAAGCAGCAGUAGGGAAUCUUCCGCAAUGGGCGAAAGCCUGACGGAGCAACGCCGCGUGAGUGAUGAAGGUCUUCGGAUCGUAAAACUCUGUUAUUAGUGAAGAACAUAUGUGUAAGUAACUGUGCACAUCUUGACGGUACCUAAUCAGAAAGCCACGGCUAACUACGUG
rnacentral:rRNA from 1 species